rnacentral:rRNA from 1 species
GAAAAACUCCGGUGGUAUGAGAUGGACCCGCGUCUGAUUAGGUAGUUGGUGGGGUAACGGCCUACCAAGCCAACGAUCAGUAGCCGACCUGAGAGGGUGACCGGCCACAUUGGGACUGAGACACGGCCCAAACUCCUACGGGAGGCAGCAGUGGGGAAUAUUGCACAAUGGGGGAAACCCUGAUGCAGCGACGCCGCGUGAGCGAAGAAGUAUUUCGGUAUGUAAAGCUCUAUCAGCAGGGAAGAAAAUGACGGUACCUGACUAAGAAGCACCGGCUAAAUACGUGCCAGCAGCCGCGGUAAUACGUAUGGUGCAAGCGUUAUCCGGAUUUACUGGGUGUAAAGGGAGCGUAGACGGCUGUGUAAGUCUGAAGUGAAAGCCCGGGGCUCAACCCCGGGACUGCUUUGGAAACUAUGCAGCUAGAGUGUCGGAGAGGUAAGUGGAAUUCCCAGUGUAGCGGUGAAAUGCGUAGAUAUUGGGAGGAACACCAGUGGCGAAGGCGGCUUACUGGACGAUGACUGACGUUGAGGCUCGAAAGCGUGGGGAGCAAACAGGAUUAGAUACCCUGGUAGUCCACGCCGUAAACGAUGACUACUAGGUGUCGGGGAGCAAAGCUCUUCGGUGCC